GGGCCGCUAGCUCAACUGGCAGAGCAGCGGACUUUUAAUCCGCGGGUUCAGGGUUCGAUCCCCUGGCGGCCCACCA
rnacentral:tRNA from 1 species